CUUGGUGGCUACUUGGCUAUGAUGACUGUAAUUUUCUUUUGGGCAGCAUACAGGACAAAUUUCUUUCCUCGAACAUUUGGGGUUUCAAGCCUUCAAAAGAAGGAUGAGGAAGACUUCAGAAAGCUUGCCUCAGCAGUCUACCUGCAAGUGAGCACUAUUAGCCAGGCCCUCAUAUUUGUGACUCGGUCUAGAAGUUGGUCUUUUGUUGAACGUCCUGGCCUUUUGCUUGUAACAGCUUUUGUGAUUGCUCAGCUGAUUGCUACUUUAAUUGCUGUCUAUGCAAAGUGGAGCUUUGCUGCAAUUGAGGGCAUUGGAUGGGGUUGGGCUGGUGUGGUCUGGCUCUACAACCUUAUCUUUUAUUUCCCACUUGAUUUCAUUAAGUUCUUCAUUCGAUAUGCCUUGAGUGGGAAAGCUUGGGAUCUUGUCAUUGAGCAAAGGGUUGCCUUCACAAGGAAAAAAAGAUUUUGGGAGAAGGAAGAACGUGAGCUUAAAUGGGCACAUGCACAGAGGACCUUGCACGGUUUGCAUCCACCUGACACCAAGAUGUUCAGUGACCGCAGUAGUUACACUGAACUUAACCAGAUGGCUGAAGAGGCAAAAAGACGAGCCGAGAUCACAAGACUCAGAGAACUGCAUACCCUGAAGGGACAUGUUGAAUCAGUAGUGAGACUGAAAGGUCUAGACAUCGACACAAUUCAGCAAGCCUACACGGUCUGAGAGACAUGAUCAUUUUUGCUUCGAGAGGUAUAUGAUCCUUUUCAAAGAUGAGAGUAAAAUGUGUAAUUUGUCUUCUGAAUGUAUAAAAACCAUAAUCUAGGAGCAAUUCUGUAUCAUAUUUUAGGACGAGUGUUUAUAUAUGCAACAAAACUUUGUUAUAGCUUAUGAUUGUUUUCCGAGUUCCUUUU
rnacentral:misc_RNA from 1 species